rnacentral:rRNA from 1 species
GCACAAGCAGCGGAGCGUGUGGUUUAAUUCGAUGCAACGCGAAGAACCUUACCUACCCUUGACAUGUCCGGAACUUGCCAGAGAUGGCUUGGUGCCCGAAAGGGAAUCGGAACACAGGUGCUGCAUGGCUGUCGUCAGCUCGUGUCGUGAGAUGUUGGGUUAAGUCCCGCAACGAGCGCAACCCUUAUCAUUAGUUGCUACGCAAGGGCACUCUAAUGAGACUGCCGGUGACAAACCGGAGGAAGGUGGGGAUGACGUCAAGUCCUCAUGGCCCUUAUGGGUAGGGCUUCACACGUCAUACAAUGGUCGGUACAGAGGGUUGCCAAGCCGCGAGGCGGAGCCAAUCCCACAAAGCCGAUCGUAGUCCGGAUUGUUCUCUGCAACUCGAGAGCAUGAAGUCGGAAUCGCUAGUAAUCGCAGGUCAGCGUACUGCGGUGAAUACGUUCCCGGGUCUU